GGCUAGCGAUUGAUAGAUGAAAACUAUUUUUUUGGAAAAUCUAAACAGAUCACCAGAAAGAUAUGAAUAAUUAGGAAAAUAUUUUAAUUUGUUUGUUAUAACUUCCGACAAAAACGUUUUCACUCAACAAUAUACAUCAAACUAAAUCCAAAUCCAACAAAAAUGCCAUUUGCCGGUGACCGGAAACACCGCCGGAAUCUCCGGUCACAACCACUAUUACCCCAAAAUCUCCACGAACCCACAUCCCAAUCAGAAUCAGGAUUUUCGGGUGCCUCAUUUUCCGGCGCCGUGUUCAACUUAUCAACAACAAUCGUCGGCGCUGGAAUCAUGGCACUUCCGGCGACCUUAAAACAAUUAGGAAUGAUCCCUGGUUUAAUAGUUAUAGUUUUAGUUGGAAUGUUGACUGAAUGUUCAGUUGAUAUGAUACUUAGGUUUAGUAAAGGUGCUAAGGUUAAUUCGUAUUCCGGAUUAGUCGGAGAUACAUUUGGUGGGGUCGGAAAGACCCUUUUGCAAGCUGGCAUUGUUGUUAAUAAUGCCGGCUUGCUUGUUGUUUAUAUGAUCAUCAUUGGGGAUGUGCUAUCUGGAACAUGGUCAGAGGGGGAACACCAUUUGGGAGUGAUGCAAGAAUGGUUCGGAGAUAAUUGGUGGACCACACGUUCUGUUCUGAUGCUUCUAACGACCCUCAUUGUUUUCUCUCCUCUUAUAUCCUUCAAACGUGUAGAUUCAUUAAGAUACACAUCAGCCUUGUCAGUGGCUUUAGCUGUUGUAUUUGUGGUGAUCAUGUCUGGAGUAACUGUGACCAAAAUAAUCAAUGGAAGUAUUGAAAUGCCACGUUUGCAUUCUGAGCUUGUUGAUCGAGCAUCAUUCUUGAAGCUUUUUACAACUGUUCCUGUACUAGUUACCGCCUACAUCUGCCACCACAAUGUUCACCCGAUAGACAAUGAGUUAAAAGAUUCUUCCCAGAUGAAGUCUAUAGUUAAAACAUCGAUCAUGUUAUGCUCUUCUGUCUAUGUAGCGACUAGCUUUUUUGGAUUUCUACUCUUUGGUGAUCAUACUCAAGAUGAUGUACUUGCCAAUUUUGAUGGUGAUCUUGGAAUCCCAUAUAGCUCAUUAAUUAAUGAUGUUGUGAGAAUAAGCUAUUGCCUCCAUUUGAUGCUUGUUUUCCCCAUUGUUUUUUUCUCAUUACGCCUCAACCUCGAUGGCCUUCUUUUCCCAUAUGCAAUACCUAUUGCCUUUGACAAUCGAAGAUUCCUUAUGGUAACGGCUCUUCUUAUGAGUAUUAUAUUUCUUGGAGCCAAUUUUGUGCCUAGCAUUUGGGAUGCCUUCCAGUUUACUGGGGCCACUGCUACCAUCUCUGUUGGUUUCAUCUUUCCAGCUGCUGUUGCCCUGAGGGACACUCAUGGAAUCGCAACCAAAAAGGACAUGAGGGUUUCAUGGGUGAUGAUAAUAUUGGCAAUAUUUUCAAGCAUCAUGGCCAUCUUCAGUGACAUUUCUAGCUUCUUUUUUUAGAAAGAAUAUGAGUAGCACUUGAUCAUAUCUAUUAUCCGUAGAAUGCAGUAUACAAAUGUAGAUAAGUUACAUGAAGUUCUGCAUUCAUAUACAAAUAUGUGUUUGACCCCAAAAUUAAUCAUUCAAAGCAGAUGAGCUGAGACAAGUAUAUGAAGCUGGCCCAUGUUUGUCAUCCAGACGAGUCGGCCACAAGACCAGGUGGGUUUGCUUUAUUGCUCCGACGCUGCACCAAUCUGGGGAUUUCUCAUUGUUCCAACAUGACGCCACUCAUCUUUGCUUUUCUUGAAAUCCAUUUAUAGCUUCUUUGCUCUCCUUGUGAUAUGAUAGGAUGUUUGUGAUGGAAGACAGUUGAAAGAUUCCAACAUGU